UUCAAUAUUUGCUCAACUAAAAGUUGUAAUCAUGGUAAAAAUAAAUGAAUUAGAACCAGCUCCUACGGAUGGCUUACAUAAACAGUCUGGAGUUGUAACUCUACUUCCACAUGAAUAAGGAAAUGCAUGUGAAGUAUUAACAGAUAAUCCAGAAAGUAAUAAUCAUUCAUUAUAAUAGAUCUCAGAAAAUAUAUAAAGGAGAUACACAACGAAAGGCAAAGAAAUGAUCACAUGGAGAUGCUUCAACAUUCCAGAACUUCAAGUUGCCUCUGUGUCAAAGGCCAGGCACGGAGCAAUGUGGAAAUCCAUUGGCUGUGACCACGGGCUGGAGCCUUGUCCAAGAGGCCCUGCUCAGCUGAGAAGCCUUGGGUCACAUGACCUUGGCUGGUCAAACAGACUACCCAUUGAGGAAGAAGCCAUGGUGGUGGUGCAUGUCAGAGGCCACUGACUUAUGAAGAAACCUUUUCCCUUGCCAUACGGCAAGAGAAGAAGCAUCAAUCAAUCAAUCAAUCCUUGCUGAGAUCAGAUAUGGCCACUUUCUUUCAAUACUGCAGUUGUCAGAUUCAUAAAAUAAACAGUUUGCUUGAGCCUGAAGUGAAAUAUUUUCUAUUACUGCUGUAUGUGUUAGCCCCACACAAUACUGGACCAUUUGCUCAUUCCAUAAAUAUGUAU